GACGAACGCUGGCGGCGUGCUUAACACAUGCAAGUCGAACGAUGAAGCCUAGCUUGCUAGGUGGAUUAGUGGCGAACGGGUGAGUAAUACGUGAGUAACCUACCUUUAACUCUGGGAUAAGCCUGGGAAACUGGGUCUAAUACCGGAUACGACCAAUCUCCGCAUGGGGUGUUGGUGGAAAGCGUUAUGUAGUGGUUAUAGAUGGGCUCACGGCCUAUCAGCUUGUUGGUGAGGUAACGGCUCACCAAGGCGACGACGGGUAGCCGGCCUGAGAGGGUGACCGGCCACACUGGGACUGAGACACGGCCCAGACUCCUACGGGAGGCAGCAGUGGGGAAUAUUGCACAAUGGGCGCAAGCCUGAUGCAGCGACGCCGCGUGAGGGAUGACGGCCUUCGGGUUGUAAACCUCUGUUAGCAGGGAAGAAGAGAAAUUGACGGUACCUGCAGAGAAAGCGCCGGCUAACUACGUGCCAGCAGCCGCGGUAAUACGUAGGGCGCGAGCGUUGUCCGGAAUUAUUGGGCGUAAAGAGCUUGUAGGCGGUUUGUCGCGUCUGCUGUGAAAGGCCGGGGCUUAACCCCGUGUAUUGCAGUGGGUACGGGCAGACUAGAGUGCAGUAGGGGAGACUGGAACUCCUGGUGUAGCGGUGGAAUGCGCAGAUAUCACGAAGAACACCGAUGGCGAAGGCAGGUCUCUGGGCUGUAACUGACGCUGAGAAGCGAAAGCAUGGGGAGCGAACAGGAUUAGUACCCUAGUAGUCCAAGGCGAAUUCCACAGUGGAUAUCAAGCUUAUCGAUACGGUCGACCUCGAGGGGGGCCCGGUACCCAGCUUUGUUCCCUUAAUGAGGGUUAAUUACACACUUGCCUAACAGGUCU
rnacentral:rRNA from 1 species